GACGAACGCUGGCGGCGUGCUUAACACAUGCAAGUCGAACGAUGAAGCCUAGCUUGCUAGGUGGAUUAGUGGCGAACGGGUGAGUAAUACGUGAGUAACCUACCUUUAACUCUGGGAUAAGCCUGGGAAACUGGGUCUAAUACCGGAUACGACCAAUCUCCGCAUGGGGUGUUGGUGGAAAGCGUUAUGUAGUGGUUAUAGAUGGGCUCACGGCCUAUCAGCUUGUUGGUGAGGUAACGGCUCACCAAGGCGACGACGGGUAGCCGGCCUGAGAGGGUGACCGGCCACACUGGGACUGAGACACGGCCCAGACUCCUACGGGAGGCAGCAGUGGGGAAUAUUGCACAAUGGGCGCAAGCCUGAUGCAGCGACGCCGCGUGAGGGAUGACGGCCUUCGGGUUGUAAACCUCUGUUAGCAGGGAAGAAGAGAGAUUGACGGUACCUGCAGAGAAAGCGCCGGCUAACUACGUGCCAGCAGCCGCGGUAAUACGUAGGGCGCGAGCGUUGUCCGGAAUUAUUGGGCGUAAAGACUUGUAGGCGGUUUGUCGCGUCUGCUGUGAAAGGCCGGAGCUUAACUCCGUGUAUUGCAGUGGGUACGGGCAGACUAGAGUGCAGUAGGGGAGACUGGAAUUCCUGGUGUAGCGGUGGAAUGCGCAGAUAUCAGGAGGAACACCGAUGGCGAAGGCAGGUCUCUGGGCUGUAACUGACGCUGAGAAGCGAAAGCAUGGGGAGCGAACAGGAUUAGAUACCCUGGUAGUCCAUGCCGUAAACGUUGGGCACUAGGUGUGGGGAACAUUCCACGUUUUCCGCGCCGUAGCUAACGCAUUAAGUGCCCCGCCUGGGGAGUACGGCCGCAAGGCUAAAACUCAAAGAAAUUGACGGGGGCCCGCACAAGCGGCGGAGCAUGCGGAUUAAUUCGAUGCAACGCGAAGAACCUUACCAAGGCUUGACAUAUACUGGACCGCAUCAGAGAUGGUGUUUCCCUUCGGGGCUGGUAUACAGGUGGUGCAUGGUUGUCGUCAGCUCGUGUCGUGAGAUGUUGGGUUAAGUCCCGCAACGAGCGCAACCCUCGUUCUAUGUUGCCAGCACGUUAUGGUGGGGACUCAUAGGAGACUGCCGGGGUCAACUCGGAGGAAGGUGGGGAUGACGUCAAAUCAUCAUGCCCCUUAUGUCUUGGGCUUCACGCAUGCUACAAUGGCCGGUACAGAGGGUUGCGAUACUGUGAGGUGGAGCUAAUCCCUAAAAGCCGGUCUCAGUUCGGAUUGGGGUCUGCGACUCGACCCCAUGAAGUCGGAGUCGCUAGUAAUCGCAGAUCAGCAACGCUGCGGUGAAUACGUUCCCGGGCCU
rnacentral:rRNA from 1 species